GAUGAACGCUGGCGGCGUGCCUAAUACAUGCAAGUCGAGCGAACGGACGAGAAGCUUGCUUCUCUGAUGUUAGCGGCGGACGGGUGAGUAACACGUGGAUAACCUACCUAUAAGACUGGGAUAACUUCGGGAAACCGGAGCUAAUACCGGAUAAUAUUUUGAACCGCAUGGUUCAAAAGUGAAAGACGGUCUUGCUGUCACUUAUAGAUGGAUCCGCGCUGCAUUAGCUAGUUGGUAAGGUAACGGCUUACCAAGGUAACGAUGCAUAGCCGACCUGAGAGGGUGAUCGGCCACACUGGAACUGAGACACGGUCCAGACUCCUACGGGAGGCGGCAGUAGGGAAUCUUCCGCAAUGGGCGAAAGCCUGACGGAGCAACGCCGCGUGAGUGAUGAAGGUCUUCGGAUCGUAAAACUCUGUUAUUAGGGAAGAACAUAUGUGUAAGUAACUGUGCACAUCUUGACGGUACCUAAUCAGAAAGCCACGGCUAACUACGUG
rnacentral:rRNA from 1 species